rnacentral:ncRNA from 1 species
CUUAACACAUGCAAGUCGAACGAUGAACCACUUCGGUGGGGAUUAGUGGCGAACGGGUGAGUAACACGUGGGCAAUCUGCCCUUCACUCUGGGACAAGCCCUGGAAACGGGGUCUAAUACCGGAUAAUACUCCUGCCUGCAUGGGCGGGGGUUGAAAGCUCCGGCGGUGAAGGAUGAGCCCGCGGCUGGCCCGGGGUGGCGGCCGGAGGCGACCACUGGCCCGCCGGAGGCUGGUUCCGGGACCACUGCGAGGACGCGCGGG